rnacentral:rRNA from 1 species
UACGUAGGGACCAAGCGUUGUCCGGAAUCAUUGGGCGUAAAGCGCGCGUAGGUGGCCAUUUAAGUCCGCUGUGAAAGUCAGAGGCUCAACCUUUGAAAGCCGGUGGAUACUGGAUGGCUUGAGUCCGGAAGAGGCGAGUGGAAUUCCUGGUGUAGCGGUGAAAUGCGCAGAUAUCAGGAGGAACACCGGUGGCGAAGGCGGGUCUCUGGGCCGUUACUGACGCUGAGGAGCGAAAGCGUGGGGAGCGAACAGG